rnacentral:rRNA from 1 species
UACGUAGGGUGCAAGCGUUAAUCGGAAUUACUGGGCGUAAAGCGUGCGCAGGCGGUCUGUUAAGACCGAUGUGAAAUCCCCGGGCUUAACCUGGGAACUGCAUUGGUGACUGGCAGGCUUUGAGUGUGGCAGAGGGAGGUAGAAUUCCACGUGUAGCAGUGAAAUGCGUAGAGAUGUGGAGGAAUACCGAUGGCGAAGGCAGCCCCCUGGGCCAAUACUGACGCUCAUGCACGAAAGCGUGGGGAGCAAACAGG